rnacentral:rRNA from 1 species
UUAAGCAUGCAAGUCAAACGGGAUGUAGCAAUACAUCUAGUGGCGAACGGGUGAGUAACGCGUGGAUGAUCUACCUAUGAGAUGGGGAUAACUAUUAGAAAUAGUAGCUAAUACCGAAUAAAGUCAAUUAAUUUGUUAAUUGAUGAAAGGAAGCCUUUAAAGCUUCGCUUGUAGAUGAGUCUGCGUCUUAUUAGCUAGUUGGUAGGGUAAAUGCCUACCAAGGCGAUGAUAAGUAACCGGCCUGAGAGGGUGAACGGUCACACUGGAACUGAGAUACGGUCCAGACUCCUACGGGAGGCAGCAGCUAAGAAUCUUCCGCAAUGGGCGAAAGCCUGACGGAGCGACACUGCGUGAAUGAAGAAGGUCGAAAGAUUGUAAAAUUCUUUUAUAAAUGAGGAAUAAGCUUUGUAGGAAAUGACAAAGUGAUGACGUUAAUUUAUGAAUAAGCCCCGGCUAAUUACGUGCCAGCAGCCGCGGUAAUACGUAAGGGGCGAGCGUUGUUCGGGAUUAUUGGGCGUAA